rnacentral:rRNA from 1 species
GGAAGUAAAAGUCGUAACAAGGUUUCCGUAGGUGAACCUGCGGAAGGAUCAUUAUCGAGUUUUUUGAACGGGUUGUAGCUGGCCUUUCACAAGGCAUGUGCACACUCGGCUCAUCCACUCUCAACCUCUGUGCACCCUUUGUAAGAAAUUGUGUCGAAACCAGCUUUUGUUAGCUGGUGGAAAGCUUUUUCUUAUGUUUAUUACAAACGCUUCAGUUUUAGAAUGUUUACUGUGUAUAACACAAUUAUAUACAACUUUCAGCAACGGAUCUCUUGGCUCUCGCAUCGAUGAAGAACGCAGCGAAAUGCGAUAAGUAAUGUGAAUUGCAGAAUUCAGUGAAUCAUCGAAUCUUUGAACGCACCUUGCACUCCUUGGUAUUCCGAGGAGUAUGCCUGUUUGAGUCUCAUGGUAUUCUCAACCUUCAAUUUUAUUAUUGUAGGCUUGGAUGUGGAGGUUGUGUCGGAUCCCAGUUAUUCGACUCCUCUUAAAUGCAUUAGCGUGAAUCUUACGAAUCAUCUUCAGUGUGAUAAUUAUCUGCGCUGUGGUGUUGAAGUAUUUAUUGAUCAUGCUUACAAUCGUCCUUUACCGGACAACUAUUGACAAUCUGACCUCAAAUCAGGUAGGACUACCCGCUGAACUUAAGCAUAUCAAUAAGCGGAGGAAAAGAAACUAACAAGGAUCCCCUAGUAACUGCGAGUGAAGCGGGAAAAGCUCAAAUUUAAAAUCUGGCGGCUUUGGUCGUCCGAGUUGUAUUCUAGAGAAGUGUUUUCCGCGUUGGACCGUGUAUAAGUCUCUUGGAACAGAGCGUCAUAGAGGGUGAGAAUCCCGUCUUUGACACGGACUACCAAUGCUUUGUGAUACACUCUCAAAGAGUCGAGUUGUUUGGGAAUGCAGCUCAAAAUGGGUGGUAAAUUCCAUCUAAAGCUAAAUAUUGGCGAGAGACCGAUAGCGAACAAGUACCGUGAGGGAAAGAUGAAAAGCACUUUGGAAAGAGAGUUAAACAGUACGUGAAAUUGCUGAAAGGGAAACGCUUGAAGUCAGUCGCGUUAUCUAGAACUCAACCAGGCUUGCUUGGCGUAUUUUCUAGUUAACGGGCCAGCAUCAGUUUUGACCGCAGGAAAAAGGCCAGGGAAAUGUGGCACCCUCGGGUGUGUUAUAGUCUCUGGUUGCAUACUGUGGUUAGGAUUGAGGCUCUCAGCACGCUUUUGUUGUGCUUAGGAUGCUGGCGUAAUGGCUUUAAACGACCCGUCUUGAAACACGGACC